rnacentral:miRNA from 15 species
GGGUGGGGAUUGGGUGCAUUACU